GACGAACGCUGGCGGCGUGCUUAACACAUGCAAGUCGAACGGGAUCCGGGCUUUCGGGUUUGGUGAGAGUGGCGAACGGGUGAGUAACACGUGAGUAACCUGCCCCCUUCUUUGGGAUAACGUCGGGAAAUCGGCGCUAAUACUGGAUAUUCUUGCUGCAUCGCAUGGUGUGGUUUGGAAAGGGUUUCUGGUGGGGGAUGGGCUCGCGGCCUAUCAGCUUGUUGGUGGGGUGAUGGCCUACCAAGGCUUUGACGGGUAGCCGGCCUGAGAGGGUGUCCGGCCACACUGGGACUGAGACACGGCCCAGAGUCCUACGGGAGGCAGCAGUGGGGAAUAUUGCACAAUGGGCGAAAGCCUGAUGCAGCGACGCCGCGUGAGGGAUGACGGCCUUCGGGUUGUAAACCUCUUUCAGUAUGGAACAAGGAUCCUUCUUUUGGGGGGUUUGAGGGUACGUGCAGAAGAAGCGCCGGCUAACUACGUG
rnacentral:rRNA from 1 species